GAGCGCCGUAACUACAACUAUUUGCAGUCUUUUCCUGAACAGAGGUGGCGCUAAUGAGGAAAGGCUACCAACUUUG